GAUGAACGCUGGCGGCGUGCCUAAUACAUGCAAGUCGAGCGAAUGGAUUGAGAGCUUGCUCUUAUGAAGUUAGCGGCGGACGGGUGAGUAACACGUGGGUAACCUGCCCAUAAGACUGGGAUAACUCCGGGAAACCGGGGCUAAUACCGGAUAACAUUUUGAACCGCAUGGUUCGAAAUUGAAAGGCGGCUUCGGCUGUCACUUAUGGAUGGACCCGCGUCGCAUUAGCUAGUUGGUGAGGUAACGGAUCACCAAGGCAACGAUGCGUAGCCGACCUGAGAGUGUGAUCGGCCACACUGGGACUGAGACACGGCCCAGACUCCUACGGGAGGCAGCAGUAGGGAAUCUUCCGCAAUGGACGAAAGUCUGACGGAGCAACGCCGCGUGAGUGACGAAGGCUUUCGGGUCGUAAAACUCUGUUGUUAGGGAAGAACAAGUGCUAGUUGAAUAAGCUGGCACCUUGACGGUACCUAACCAGAAAGCCACGGCUAACUACGUGCCAGCCGCCGCAGUAA
rnacentral:rRNA from 1 species